ensembl:lncRNA
GCAGCCGGUCUCCGGGAUGAUGGACGAGCACUGACAGGGGAGCGGCAGGGGUGUAGAGGACUCAGGGAGCACAUCGUCCAAACAUCACAAGGAUACAGCAGCCCCCUUUCCGUGCACAGAGGCCUCCGCCCUCCAAGCCCCAGAGGGAAAUGCUGUAGGUGCUGAUGGUGGAGGGGGAACCCUUGGGGGCUUCUCGCUCAGGUUCCACUCCCUGAGCCUUGCCCUUCCUGGAUGGGACACAACACCAGUCCCGCCAAAGUGCAUGCAUUGCCCCGCUCCUUGUCCUCAUCAGCAGAAAGAGGCAGGCUAUUUUCCAAAGGAACUCAGCUCAGUGCAAAGGGGGAUGGUCACAAAGAACGUCCUAGAGAAGACGCAAACCCCAUUGUGAGGCAGAAUCGCAGAGGGUCCUGAGUGUGGACUCUAGAGCUGGACUACCGCCUGGCGGGUUCUUCAGCUCUCUGGGCCUCAGCUUCCACAUCUGUAUCACGGGGAUAAUCACAGUACCUUACUCGGAAGGUUGUUACAAGGCUUAGAAUGGUGCCGGCCAUGUAGUAAGUGCUUACUAAGUGUCGUAAUUCAGACAAAGCUCGAGUCCUCAUGGAAGUAGAGCAGAGGUUCCAGGGCCCCCUUCCCUCCGAACGCCCCGACAAGAGACUGGGCCUUCUAGAAGGAUGUUCAUCCUCCAGUUCCAAGUGCCCAUCACAGCCUGGCACACAGCAGGUGCUCAAGAAAUAAGUGAUUUUAGGACUCUGCACAGUCCUGUGCUAUUGGGACCGUGAGCCCACUUUACAGAGGAACCUGAGACUCUCAGAGGAGAAGGGACCUGCCUAAGCAACAUGGGGUUACCAGUGGAGGGUCUGGCUUUGACUUGAAGGCCCCUGUUCUUUGGUGUCUACCAGGAGGGUGACCCACGCUUUCCCAGCUGGGCGGCCAGCUCUACCCAGCCCUGAAACACUUACCCUCUGUGACCGUUUCCUGCUCCCACCCAGGGAAACGGGCCUUGGGAGAGUGUACCCUCCUCAGGGACCCCGCAUGGCAGUUCCACAGAGACCCAAAAGUGAAGCACUGGGGUGGGGAGCUGGGAGAGGAGGGGGGAGCUCCCUCCCUUGGGCAUGUGGAGGCAGCCAAUAGGAUGGAGAGAAGGCAGAGGGGAUAAGGUGUAGACACAGGCCUCUGGAGGCAUAUUCCUGACCCUGAGUGCCCUCCUGUGCCUUUCAUGAUGUGCGGUCACAGAGAGGGAUGGGGAGGUGGCUGGCAGAUCACCCAGAGGCCCUGCCUAGAACCUUGGGAGGCUGGGAGGGCAGGAAUGGGGAGCAAAGCCUGCUGACCUACUCCUGGGCUGGUCAGAGGGACAGAGAGGGAAAGAAGGCCAGAGGGUGCUUCCUGCAGAGGGGUGGCCAAAGGGAUCCUCUCUCUCAGAGGUCCCUGCUGCGGCCCGCCGGCGUAGCCAUGCCUGUGGUGCAUCCCGGUGAUAAUGACUCACAUGGGCAGAGUGCCCAUGCUGUCUUCUGUGCCUGGAGACCUGCCCUUCAGUCGCGCUGCGUGUGUCUUUAAGGACUGCCCUUCCUCUCCUAGAAAGACCCCUGGUGGCCCCCACCGGCAGCUCUGACUGCAAAUACAGGCAGUCUGGCUAAAGAGACAGCCUGGGGCAGCGAGAGGAGCCUGGCCUGGGAGCUCCGUCCUCAACCUCCUCUGUGACCUUGGGCAGGUCCCUUCCUCCUGCUGGGCCUCAGUCUUCCCAUCUGUAAAGUGGGGAGAUUGCGUUCGAUGACCUCUGAGGUCCCUCUUCGCUCUGACAGUGAUGGUACCUAGUAGACACCUAGUGAAUAUUUGUUGAAUAAAAGGAGGAGUAAAUGUGGCUCCAGGUUGGUAACAGGAAUGGGCAGGAGUGACUUCUGAAGGACAAACAAGGCUGUUUUAGCCUGGAAAGUUAACAAUAACAGGGAACAUUUAUUGACUGCUGACUCUGCCUGACACUGUGCUGAGCGCUGCCCAUCUGUUGUCUGAUUAAACCUUCAUAACCGCCUCGGGAGGCAGGCUCGAUUAUCUUUCCCAUUUUGCAGAUGAGAAAAUUGAGGCACAGAGAGGUCCCUUGUCUAACAUCACCCAGCCAGAGUGACCACAUUACUCAGGACUCUUUCAGCUGCUUGUGGCAGAAAUGCAACUCUUACAGGCUUAAGGAUAAAAGGGAAUUUAUUGCUUACGUAUCUGUGAAGUGCAGGGGUGGCUAGACCCAAGAGCUCAAACGAUGAUUUCAGGAAUUCCUCUCUCCCCUGCUUCCUUCAAUGUGGCUGUUGACGGCGUGGACGCCACUCCAAGAAGAAAAACAGUGUAGAAGUUAAAGUCUCCAUUUCUGAAGUCAGAGUACCUGGGUCAAACUCUGGCCUUGCUGUGUGACCCUGGGCAAGUUAAUCAGCUUCUCUGGCCUCAGUUUCCUUAUCUGUGAAAUGGGGAUAAGAGUAGUACUUACUUUGUGAGGUUGUUGUGAAGACUAGAUGAGUUUGUAACUGUAAAGUGCCGGGAGCAGGACUUGACAGUCAGUAGGUGUGAACGGCUGGUACUGCCUUUAGACACGCUAGAGGGAGAGUCUCUCCUACCCCCAACCUGAAAAGCCCCUUGUUUGACUAAUAUUGGACUGACUUGGGUCCUGUGCUGCCAAUCACUGUGGCUGGGGGAGGGAAUAUGCUGAUUGGGCCUGGUUAUAUGCCUACCCCAGAGCGCAGAGAUGGCCAGUCCUCCCCCUGGAGCAUGAGGAUGGCCAGUCCUCCUCCUGGAGCACAGGGAUGGCUGGUCCUCCCCCUGGAGCAUGAGGAUGGCUGGUCCUCCCCCUGGAGCACGGGGAUGGCUGGUCCUCCCCCUGGAGCAUGAGGAUUGCCAGUCCUCCCCCUGGAGCAUGAGGACGGCCAGUGCUCCUCCUGGAGCACAGGGAUGGCUGGUCCUCCCCCUGGAGCAUGAGGAUGGCCAGUCCUCCCCCUGGAGCAUGAGGAUGGCCAGUUCUCCCCCUGGAGCACAGAGAUGGCUUUAAAAUUUUCUGUUCAACUCUACACAUUUUAACGCAUGCAUAGAGUCUAGGAACCACAACCACAAACAGGAUAGAGAACAAUUCCAACAUCCCAAAGAAUUCCCUGAUGCUGGCCUGUUGUAACCAGUCCAUCCCCCACCCAAACCCCUGG